GUCCUUGUAAACAUUUCACACAACCAUUUCAUAUAACCAUUCGUCAUCUGAUACAUUUUACCUGAAUAUCAAUUGUUCAACAGAUGUUAUAGCGUCUCCCAUCCACGGUCUUUUUUAUCUUUGACGUGAUGCCAUAGUGUCUUUCAACUAUGGUCUUACUCAUUUUUUGUCAUGUGGCCAUGGUAUCUUUCAACCAUGGUCUUAUUCUUUUCAUGUCACGUUGCCAUGGUAUCUUUCAACCAUGGUCUUACACAUCUCAUAUCAGGUUGCCAUGGUAUCUUUCAACCAUGGUCUUACACAUAGGUUGCCAUGGUAUCUUUCAACCAUGGUCUUACACAUUUCAUAUCAGAGAGCACACUCCCGCGAACCUCAUCCUUACAGUGGGAUUACCAGUCCAGGCUAAGUCCCCUGUAAUAUAAACUCAUAGAGUAUUGUCGGGAUUACCAGUCCAGGCUAAAUCCCCUGCAACGACAAUUACUCUAAUGAGUUUGGAUCUGAAUUACUAGUCCAGGCUAAAUUCAGACCCUAAUUCGGAUUACCCGUCCGGGCUAAAUCUGUUUUACACAUAUUCUUCGGGAGGGCUAUAUCAGGAUAGGAUCACCCGUCCGGGCUAGAUCCUUUUUACCGUCAAUUCCUUUUCAGAGAUCCAUCGAAUUUUCCUUUCAUUCAACCGGGAUUUCUUCUCCUUUUAUCAAAUUUAUCAAUGUUUCAUAAAUUUUCAUACAAUAAACAUUCAAAUCAUAUUCACAUAAAUAACAUACAAUCUCAAGCAUUUAAGAAUAUAAUUCAAGUUACACGAACUUACCUCAUUGCUUGUUUGUGUUUAUAAUUUUAUUAAUUUGAUAUCUUUUCUUUUCCACGAUCAAGUCUCAUAUUUGAGUCGUUCGGAUAUUUAUAAAUAAAUUUGAUCAUCAUUUUCAUUCAUUUCAUAUUCUAAUGCAUUUAAUUAAUGCUCUAGGCAAAAUUAUCAUUUUGCCCCUAAACUUUUAAUUAAUGACGAUUUCAUCCUUAGGGUCAGGAAAAUAAAAUUCUUGCAAUUUAAUCCUUAUUUCCAGCUAUUAUUCUCAUAUAUAUAUUGAUAACAAUCCAUGAAUUCUAUAAAAUAUCAGAAUUUUUCAUAAUUUCAACACUUUUCAAUUUAAUCCCUAGAACAUGUUUUCCCCCGAUCUUGAACUAAAUUAAUAAUUUCAUUCAAUUUUUUAAUUUAAAUAAUAAAAUAAUCCAUUUCAUGCAAUUUGGUAAUUUCUGACAUGUUUACAAAAUUGCCCAUAAAGUUUUACUUUUAUUCAAUUUAGUCCCUUAGCCUAAAAUAUGCAAAUUAGCCAUGCUAGAUGAAUAUUCAUACAUAUUUUUCCUCCUCCUCCUCUCCAUUCCACAUCCUUAAUGUAGAUAACACACUUGUAAGUAACAUUAUCCAUAAUUUUUAUUAUUUACUUUUAUGAAUAUUCAAGUUGUCUAUCUGCAUCAUAGUUACUAAAUUAUUUAUAUCUGGAUCUAUAGAACUCCAAAUUAAUAUCCAAUAAUUUUCCCUGAAUCUAGACUCAUAUAUAUUCUUACCAUAAAAAUUUCAGAAUUUUUGGUUUAGCCAAUAAGUACAGUUUAUUCUUUAAAGUUACCCCUGUUCUGCUGUCUGACAGUUCUGACCCCUCUUCACCAAAAAUUAAUUAUCUCCUCAUACAGGAUUCAAAUGAUGUUCUUUUUUAUUUCUCUUAAAAAUAGACUCAUUCAGGAUUUUAUAAAUAUAAAUUUAAGCCCCUAAUUAUUUGUAUUCAAUUUUUUAUGAUUUUUCAAAGUUAGAACAGGGGAACCCGAAUUCAUUCUGACCUUGUCUCACAAAAUUCAUUAUAUCUCAAAAUUUACAAAUCCAUUGCUUACACUAUUUCUUAUAUGAGAAACUAUCUCAAUAAGCUUUAAUUCCAUAUUUUUUUCAUCUUCUAAUUCGAUUUCUAAAAUUUAUGGUGAUUUUUCAAAUUUAGUCUACUGCUGCUGUCCAAACUGUUUUUGUGCAAGCUAUUAAUUACCAUGUUAUAACACCCUUAUUUUCUUUUUCUACACCAUUUCUCAUCACUUUCUCUUAUUUUCUCUUCACUAACAUAUCAAAAACAUAGGACCUUAUGUAAGAAAACUCUACUAUAACAUUAUUUCCAUGCUUUGUCAAUAAUAACAAACUUAAAAACAUAUUGAAAUCUUGAUAUACUUACCUUGUUCUAUUGAUACUAAUCUUUAACUUAAUUUUCUCUCUCCUCCAGCUUCUAUUUCUUGAAUCCAACUUGAUAUUCUAACUCCCCAUGCUCUCCUUAACAUUUUUGUCUCUUGGUAGCUAUGGAAAUUCAUUUGAUUUUUGGGUGAAAAUGGUGAAUUUUUGGUAAAAGGACCAAAUUGUAAAGAAAGUAAAACUUUCUUUCUUCCUCUCUUUCUCUCACGUUAGUGCAUGGGAAAAUAU
rnacentral:lncRNA from 1 species